rnacentral:rRNA from 1 species
GGACCAGUAUGUCGGUCGUGCUUCGGUACGUACUUGCAUUAUUGGUUUCUCCCUUCUGACGAACCAUGAUGUCAUUAAUUUGAUGUCAUGGGAAAUCAGGACUGUUACUUUGAAAAAUUAGAGUGUUUAAAGCAGGCUCGCGCUUGAAUACAUUAGCAUGGAAUAAUGAAAUAGGACGUUUGAUUCUAUUUUGUUGGUUUCUAGGAUCGACGUAAUGAUU